CUUGGGGCCCGCGAUCCAGGCCACUCGGCUGUAGCCGCACCGUUUCCGUGCGGACAGGGCGCGGGGGCGGUGCUCGGGAGGCCGGGGCUGAGUCCCUGGCUCCGUAGCUGUUUGCUCAGGAUCGAUUUUGCCUUCCCUUUCCCGCCCCCUGGCCGACUCUCCAUAUGGCGUGCAGUGGCAGUGCGCUUCCUGGGCUGCCCUGGGCUCAGUACCUGGAGGGGGCAGGCUGCUUGUGGGCUCUGCGCCUGCCAGCCCGAAAACCGAGGGGAAAGCCAGCGACGGAGGGAUUGGCAGCUGCCUGCCGGUCUGCCUAGAGCCAAAGGCAUCCUGUAUUAGCUCACUCAGGAAUCCUAAGCCCUGAAUCGGCGCCCUUUUAGUCACUUCAUCAGACAAGCAGAGUGUGGCAGUGGCUUAAACACUCCUCUCCGUUCCUGUGGGCCCCUCAGGGAGAGCAGGGGAGGCUGUGACAGCCCCCCAUUCACAGAGCUUAUUUCCUGGGACAACUGGACUGUUGGUGGAGAAAAGGGGUGAGAAAGGAGUGGGUACUUUGGAGAUUCCUGUGGGGGCCAGGCAGGGGUCCCUUUUUUAAAAUUUCAGUCUGAAACCUUGAGAAUAGAUUUUAAAUUGGAUGGGAGGGGUUGAAUUAGGGUGGUGGAUGUCUUGGGAUAUUUAAUGGGGAGAAGAGAAGAAAUCCCUAUUUACUGAGUAUC